rnacentral:lncRNA from 1 species
GAGCCAUAUAUUUGAUAUUAAGCAAGUUGUCUGAGGAUGUUCACUACCCAGCUAAUUUGAGCUCCCCGUUUCCAUAUGCAGGUAAAUCCAGAAUUUUCACCACUUUUUAGUUCUAAUUUUACCACUCUCCUUCUUGCUUGCUUAAAUGGGGUGCCUUCUCAUAAUACCUUUCUUGCUUUGAAGAAUAUAGCAUUUAGCAUGUUUUUUCUAAAAACAAGUCACAAGUCACAACACCAUUUAGAAUGUCACAACUGAGAAUGCUGGGAUAUAUUGACAUGUGCAGCUAGACAUUCCCUUGGCAUUCGUGAUAUUUAUAGCUGGAUUCACCCUGCAGAUAUGGCAUAAUUAUUUCUCUUAGUCACUUCUUUCACUUCAAAAUAUCCAGGCCUUGGUUUCCCUAGGUACCCUGUCGCUGUUUCUUGUUGGGUAUAUGAUAAUUCCACAAGUGCCAUAUAAUAAUGUUGUGAACUAUGGACCUAAUCGGUACGCUGCUGGUGGUGGUGGCAGGUACCAAAACAACAAGGUUCGUGUCUGCUGUCCUGCUUGUUGGAGGGGGACUGGUGUAGCAUCAAUCACUAAUAGGCCAGGCUAUUAAUUCUAACAUGUCUGUUUAAAAUGGAAAAGAUGGAUAGUUCGUGGUUUGAGCAGAUUUAUAACUAACUGUAGCCUAUCAACCCCAUUCUGACUAUAAGCAGCGGGAAGAUAAGAACUUGAAUUAAUAAUAAUGACGAUUUAGUUCAAGAAUAAGGCAGUACUUAAAUCUUAAUAAUCUCCGUACAUGGUGCUUUUAUGAGAUAUUCGUGUUUAUUUUGGUGAUGGCCUAAUAUUACCUGAACAUCAUUUGUGCAUUUGAAAAGUUCAUCCAUUAAACUUACCAAGGAUACAACUUGCAGUCCCUUGGCCUGCUUUCUAAUUUGAUUGAUGGUCAGCCGAGUUAUCUAUAUUAUUAAACAUAGUUUUCAUUUUUACAGGGUGGUUGAUGCAUGUCUUCACAUUUUUCAGAGCAACAUGCAGUGGAAGAAGCAGCCUAUGAACUGGAAUAGUUUGCAUAAGAAAUAAGCGAUGUGAGUAUGUUUUGUGUCUUGUAUAUAAGAAAUAGGCAUAAGAAAUAGCAUCACUAGAUUACUUUUUGUGUCUUGUAUAUAGAACUGAACUCCACAUACUGCAGUUUUAAAAUUAAAAAUAUGAAAUCACAUGAUGUAAUCUGAUGCUCAUAUACAUUGCUUAGUAGUUAGCAUAUAUGUAAGACAUGCUUGCAGUCCCUUGGCCUACUUUCUAAUUAGUUUGGUGUUAACACUUUGAUGGUCACAAUCUAAAGAUGACAUGGCAUAUACAGAACUUCACAUACUGCAGUUUUUUUGGUUUGAAGCUCUACAUUUUAAUUCUAGUUCAUCAGAUAACAUACGACCACAAUUGUUUUUCACAUUUAUUUUCAAAUUUUGAAGUGCACAAAAUCAUUGGGGUGAAUAUAUGAGAAUUUGACCAUUUAUUUUCACCCACACAUUUAUGUUGGCAGUCGCAUUCAGUUUGAACAUAUGAGAAUUUGACCGGUGACAAUUUCCUCCAUAUUAUUAAUAACUUUUAUGAAUCCACUUUGGAAUAAAACAUUUGAUACAUGUCUGUCUUAAUUAGGUGUCAAUACAAAAUGAUAUUUGCACUUAUGUUAGAUAUUAACUGAGCAUAUUUUCAUUAGACUCUUAUCAUUAAGAUCGUGUGGAAUAUUUUCAGGUACUCAGCCACCUACUGCGCAUGGAUGUGAUGACUUCGGAGUGUUAUGCAGCAUUUGGCUGUUUCGAGUAUUUUGGACCAGCCAACUUGUGAUCGUGAAUCUUAUGUGUGUUCUGGACCAUUUGCUACUUCAAGUGUUUUGGAGCAUAUAUCUUGUGCUCAUGGGUGUGACUUAAGUGUUUUGGACCAUUUAGUGGCUGAACACUUUUAGAACAGUAAAUAGUGGUCCUUUUAUGUGGCUUGUGUUUUCUGGAUGGUGGUUAAAAUGGCCAAACUUUGCUUUGUCAAGAUUGUCUUGUUUUUGAACUUCUGAUCAAUGUAUAUGUAUGUUUGUGAACAUAUUAUCAAUGCUUGUGCAAUAUGUGUUCAUCUUGAUCCUCUUUGUGUAUAACAUUUGAGCAUUGUAUAAUAUUUAAAUCAGAGCAGUAUCCAAUUGUUGUUUUGG